rnacentral:rRNA from 1 species
AUUGAACGCUGGCGGCAUGCUUUACACAUGCAAGUCGAACGGCAGCGCGGGCUUCGGCCUGGCGGCGAGUGGCGAACGGGUGAGUAAUACAUCGGAACGUGCCCAGUAGUGGGGGAUAGCUCGGCGAAAGCCGGAUUAAUACCGCAUACGACCUGCGGGUGAAAGCGGGGGAUCUUCGGACCUCGCGCUAUGGGAGCGGCCGAUGGCCGAUUAGCUAGUUGGUGGGGUGAAGGCCUACCAAGGCGACGAUCUGUAGCUGGUCUGAGAGGACGACCAGCCGCCCUGGGACUGAGACACGGCCCAGGCUCCUACGGGAGGCAGCAGUGGGGAAUUUUGGACAAUGGGGGAGAGCCUGACCCAGCAAGGCCGCGUGUGUGAUGAAGGCCUUCGGGUUGUAAAGCACUUUUGGCGGGAACGAAAAGGACUGUGCCAAUACCACGGUUCGAUGACGGUACCCGCAGAAUAAGCACCGGCUAACUACGUG